CGAAAAGCGGGGUGAACAGCCACACACCCCAACUAAAGAAAGACCGAAGCCGCAGUCUAUGACCUCUCUCUCUCUCCCCUCUCUAUCGCAGCCGCAGAAGAGGGAAAGAAGGCCCGAAAGACGGGCGACUCUUGCACGCGCGUCUUUCCUACUUCAAGCUCGGCACCUCAUGAAGCUCGGCACGCGGGGAAGGGGGCAGGAGGAGGUGGAACGGACCCGAGGCGGAGGAGGCGGGCGUAGGAGGAGAGAGAGAAAAGACGCGGUUGCCGGAGGAGGGAGCAACGACCUGGGCGGGACGAAGCGGAGGCGGUCGGAGAAGGAGGAACGGCAGUUGCCGUCGCCACACUUGCCCUCGUCGCCGGCGCUGAUCUACGCUACUCAACUGGCCCGACCAAGGUGCGACUCCUUGCCUGGGGGAGCUGUGGUAGGAGACGCCGCGAUGAGACGACGUACGCAAGCAGUGUCAAUUCAAGACCAAGGAAUGGACGAGGGGGAGGAGAACUCGUAAUACAAGGAGUGUCAUAAAUCGGAACGAUGGAAGUAUACAAGUACACGUCCAAACACUAGAGAAGACGUAAGGCGAAAGGUCCUCAAGAACGGAAGUUGGGACUCCACCUUACCGAGAAGGGUAUGAACAGAGCGCCUCCACCCCGAGCUUCUUCAUACCGUACCCCGAGCUCCUGCCCUCUCCUAACCAGGACUACGCGAUCCGAGCACGCGGACAAAAGGAAAAAAAAGGAAGCUACCCCGGCAAGUCCACUCCACUUCGUUCGCUCGUGGAGGGGCACAAAAUAUAAACUCUAGCUCCUGUCUCGCUCAGCAACGUCUCCUCUCCCCUAUGCUCCCACCCGCCUCCAGUCCGUAACGAUUGUCUAAACGCCGCCUCACCUUCUCCACUGCGGUCGGCCGGCCGCGGAGUGGUGGCCGAGGACAAACCGCCACCGUUUCUCUUCCCGCGGCUCCUACACAACGAGAUACGUACCAACAGCUUCAUGUAGUAGCAAUACUACACAUACCAAAGAGAUCGGGAUGACGAGGACUCGGGUUUAGGGUACCAGUACGGGGGUGGAGAGGUAGCAACUUACUUCCCUCAGACCAACGAUUUUUGAAAAGAUGUCGUUAUCGGUUUAUUACACUGUAGUGUGGUGAGGUAAAAGUAUCCGGUAUUGUGUAGAAAUGUACUAUUCGGCUGUGGAUUGUUCCUAGCCCUCUUGUUAUCUCUACGAUUCUCCGUUGGAAAACCCAAUUCCUAUAUUUGUUGUUGUCCCGAAUACUCCGGCUUUUCUCGAGCUCACCGCGGAAACCCAAGAACUUCGGGACGUGCAAGGACCACCUCAUCGUCGUUUUAUUAAACCUCCGAAAUUUCGAUGACGUGAAGUACAUCAAUCCUAGUUAAGAAACAAAACCAAACUUUAUAUAACGGGUCGAGGAGGAUAAACUAACUAAGUAGACUACUAAAACGGUCCGUUUAUUUGUUUUCCGUAUACAUAACAAUGCUCACUGCGGUAGGUAUGAGGGUAUACACCUUAAGUUCUUUAUCUCUUUACAGUAACAAGAAGAUGAUUAACCAACGAACCGGUUUACAUGACAUUUACUAAAUAAUAACAAGUUCCAUAUCUC
rnacentral:rRNA from 1 species